rnacentral:lncRNA from 1 species
CAAAAAUGGUCCAAUCAUAAGACAUUGAUAAAAGAAAAGGGAUAAGUUAAGUUCUCUGAAGUGUGAAUCGUCUGAAAAGGUAUACUUGAACAUAUCAAGGAAAUCACCCAUUCCUUGUACUGAUGAUAGUAAACAGAUCUAAUAGAAUGAUGUAUUUGAAAAAUAAAAGUUUAUUAGUAGAGUGUAUCAGAUAUAUUUUAUUAGAGGUUAAAUCGAUGAUCAUCAUCAGAAGAAUAAGGGCAAAAUUAGGAUGCAUUCUGGAAGAGAACAGUAACCCUACCCCUUACAUUAUCCUAGAACCAACCUAGAUAAAUUUGAGAAUGUUACCAAAUUGAUUUGCAGAAAUAAAAUUAACCUAAAGAUUUCAUUAGUUUACAGUUUUCCCUUAAAGAUGAUUUUCAAAAUCUUAUUCUUUUGACAAAGCACAUCACUCAUUUGUAUGUCACGAUUGACUAAUUAUGUAAAGAUCCAUAACCAUCAAAUAUGUUUCGUCUUCAAAGUCAUAGCAAUGAGAACGUACCAAUAAUCAUCUUAAUAAUAUUAGUAAAUUUGGUGACUAAUACUUGUACUGAUGACUUAGCUAUCAUUUUUUACUCUUUAACAAAAAGGUUGUACAUUGCCUGGACUCUGGAGGCACAUCACCCCUAAAAGCAUGUAUACAAAGUAAGUGCAUGAAGAAGCAUAUAUAAGAUAGAAGAGAGCCAGAAAAA